UCUGCUGAGAAGGGCUGAGUGACUUUUAUUAGUGAUUCAUGAACUGGGCAGCAUCCAGUCUACAAAACAGACUGGAGCUCCACUGGGUGAGGCAGAAGAGUGGGUUUCUGUAAGGCAACUUGAGCAGGAACGGGGAGAUAGCCUACUGCAAAAAGCAGAUUGGUUAACAUCAGGUCACUUCAGGUUACUCUCCUUGUGUGGGUUAAAGCAGACGGGGCUCCCUUAUCACAAGCUCAGUUGACUGGGCCCCUUUUGAUGGGUUGCUGUGAAUCUCUUGUUUCUUGGUAAACGUUCCUAUUUGGGUGUUAGGCUACUGUCUCUCCUGAUUUCUCAGAAGGCCAGAUCUUAAAGGUAAACAGCUUAGGUUUCAGUUUGGUGAUAUGGGCCUUAGCAUGAGUGACUUCACUUUAGAUUGGUUUGUCAGGGUUUAGUGCAGGAGCUCAGUCUAAAUCAAUGGUCUUCCAUAAAUUUUAUCUCACUGAGAGUGUUUGUGACGUAUGUGUUAUGUAUGAGCACACUCCAAAGCCAAACACAGGUUGGGUCAUUCAUUCAAUAAAUGUUUACUAAGCUUCUAUUUUGUGCCAGGCACUGCUCUGAAACUUACAGACCAGCAGUGAACAAAACAGAUAAUUUCUGACUCCAUGGAGCUUACAUCCUAGUUGGAGAGACAGAAAAAAUACUAAAUAAUUCUUUAAACAUUAAGGUAAUCCUUCUACUAAGGCAAAUAAAGCUGGGAGACAGGUCCAGAGUACGUGGUGGGAGGAAUACAAUAUUAAACAGAGUGGUCAGGAAAGGCCUCACUGACUGCAAAAUUGCUUGGGGAUAGGCUGCUGUUUUGAAAUCUUUCUACCUCUGCUUCUUCUUUGCCUAGUGUACAAAUGAUGAGGAUAAAGUCAGUAGCCCAAAGCCUUGCCGUCAGCAAUCUGUAUCUCCAAUAUAAGAUAACAAUUCCUCUUAAAUACCCAAAUCACAAAAGUCCAGGCCCCACCUGUCAAAUCAGCAGGAAGUUUAGACUUCUCUUGGGUUUUUCUCCCAAAAGAUUCCUGAGAAUCAUGGAAUGAGUUAGACUUGUCCAUUAAUCAGUCCCCUUUUUUGCUACCAUCCAG
rnacentral:lncRNA from 10 species